CACCAAUCCUCCUGGGUUCAGAGAUGGAACUUGGGUUAAAUGCAUGGAAUUUAUUCUUAGUCCUUUUCUUAAUUACGACUUUUUAUUUCUCUGGUGUUCUCUAGGGGAGGGGUUAGAGAAGAGAGGAAAAGGAAGAAAGAAAGGGGGCAGGGAAAUAUAGAUUCAAUGCUUUUGUUUUGUUUCUGGGCUGCUUGCUAUCAGCAAAGUAGAGAGAUUUAACGGAUCUUGCCGAGAAUGCAAGCCUCAUUCCAAGGAAGCCAGAGCUCAGAAGACAUGGAACAAAUACAAUGAAAACAUAACUUGAGGUCGGAAAAUGUCCCCUGAAUAUUUAUGUCAAUGUCCUACCUUAGUGAAUAUUACUUAAUACUGUGGCUCCUUUAAAGCAUGUAAGUAGCUUGCAUUGUGAUUUCAUUAUGAAGUCAGAUGGAAUGAGGAGUGUGUAAAUCCAGAAUCAGAAUCCCAGCGACGAAGCUUUUCUUGCUCUGUUACCUUGGAAAAUGCUUUGAACCAGACCAGAUAAGAAAAGUAAAAGUCUGGAGUGUAAUCCUUCCAAUUGUCUUUUGGCUUCUCUUCUACUUCUACAAAAAGUUCAACAAGUCGGUGGGCAGAAGUCUAAAAUCAAGGUGUCAGCAGUGUGGAAUCCUUCUGGAGGCUUUGAGAAAUUAGAAUUUGAAACAACGGAAAGAGAGAAAUUUUAGGUUAGUAGCUAAAUCCCCAAGGAUACUAAUUAGAGAAAGAUGUUGGAAUUGCCUUAAUGAGUCACUGCCAACGCAAGUCCUAAGGAAGCAAAGACUGUGAGUAAGCAAAGGUAGCCAGCUGCUGGGAAGAGGACAAUAGAGGAAAAGGUCAGAGGGACUUUAAAAGACUGACUGUGGGCUCCCUGAGGGAAGGAGGGAUGGAGAGAGUAUCGGGUCCUAUAGAAUACCUUAAUUGUUUUUAUGACUUCUCUUUUCCAUAUCCAGUUCACAUGUACUCCUUUCUGUGCAUUAAAUUGAGUUUCUAUUGGCUUCUUUGUAACAAAAAGAACUGAACAGAAACACAUAUCUAUUGGACAAAGAGCAAUAAAAUGAUAUAAUAACUGUAUCUGAG
rnacentral:lncRNA from 1 species